rnacentral:rRNA from 1 species
AGAAUCAACGCUGGCGGCGUGCCUAACACAUGCAAGUCGAACGAGAAAGUGGAGCAAUCCAUGAGUAAAGUGGCGCACGGGUGAGUAACACGUGACUAACCUACCCUUGAGUGGGGGAUAACCUAGAGAAAUCUGGGCUAAUACCGCAUAAUACCUUCGGGUCAAAGGAGCAAUUCGCUUAAGGAGGGGGUCGCGGCCGAUUAGUUAGUUGGCGGGGUAAUGGCCCACCAAGACUAUGAUCGGUAUCCGGCCUGAGAGGGCGCACGGACACACUGGGACUGAGACACGGCCCAGACUCCUACGGGAGGCAGCAGUGGGGAAUAUUGCGCAAUGGGCGAAAGCCUGACGCAGCGACGCCGCGUGGGGGAUGAAGGCCUUCGGGUUGUAAACCCCUUUCAGCAGGGACGAAGCGAAAGUGACGGUACCUGCAGAAGAAGCGCCGGCUAACUACGUGCCAGCAGCCGC